GGAGAGAUGCCGGAGUGGUUGAACGGAGCUGCCUGCUAAGCAGUUGGCCUGGGCAACUGGGCCCCAGGGUUCGAAUCCCUGUCUCUCCGCCA
rnacentral:tRNA from 1 species